rnacentral:rRNA from 1 species
CAAGACAUGAAGUUAGGUCAGCAAACCCGCUGAAUUUAAGCAUAUAAGUAAGCGGAGGACAAGAAACUAAAUAGGAUUCCCCCAGUAAUGGCGAAUGAACAGGGAUCAGCUCAGCAUGGAAAUCGGGGCCUCUUGGCCUUGAAUUGUAGUCUCGAGAUGUACUGCCAACGGAGGCGCAGAUGUAAGCCUCUUGGAAAAGAGCAUCAACGAGGGUGAGAGUCCCGUUUGUCAUCUGCAGUCCCCCGUGCACGGUGUACCUUCUAAGAGUCACGUUCCUCGGGAUUGGAGCGCAAAGUGGGUGGUAAAUUUCAUCUAAAGCUAAAUAUUGGUUCGAGACCGAUAGCAAACAAGUACCAUGAGGGAAAGGUGAAAAGGACUUUGAAAAGAGAGUUAAAAGUGCCUGAAAUUGCUGAAAGGGAAGCGAAUGGAACCAGUGUUCUUGGCGAGAUUGUCGUGUGUUCUGGUGAUUGCUAAUUGUCUGAACGCAAGUCAGGCAGUUGGUAUUGAUCUAGCAGUGCGCGGUGCUUCUUGCCAUGUGUGUCACCGUCGGUUUACAAGCGAGGAAAACUCCAAGGACAUGGUAGUUUGCCUACGGGUGAGCGAAUGUGUUUGGCAGUACUCAUUUGUGAAUCGGUCUCUGCGUGUUUGGUUGCAGUGUUUCGUUUGCUUUCGUCCUUUUGAUAGGGUCCGCCUUAUGGAAAGGAAUUGGGGCACGCGGAGCAUCUCCCUAACACAAGGACGAUGACUAAAUGGUUCUAUUCGACCCGUCUUGAAACACGGACCAAGGAGUCUAACAUAUGUGCGAGUUCACGGGUGGUUAAACCUGCUUGCGCAAUGAAAGUGACUGCUGGGAUUUUUGCACCAGCAACCGACCAAUCAAUUGAGAGAGGUUUGAGUAUGAGCAUAUCUGUUAGGACCCGAAAGAUGGUGAACUAUGCCUGAGAAGGGCAAACUCAGGGGAAACUCUGAUGGAGGCUCGUAGCGAUACUGACGUGCAAAUCGUUCGUCAUACUUGGGUAUAGGGGCGAAAGACUAAUCGAACCAUCUAGUAGCUGGUUCCCUCCGAA